UACGUAGGCAGCGAGCGUUGUUCGGAGUUACUGGGCGUAAAGAGUGCGUAGGCGGUUUUCUAAGUUUGGUGUGAAAUCUCCCGGCUUAACUGGGAGGGUGCGCCGAAAACUGGAAGGCUUGAGUAUGGGAGAGGUAAGCGGAAUUCCUGGUGUAGCGGUGAAAUGCGUAGAUAUCGUGAGGAAGACCAGUGGCGAAGGCGGAUCUCUGGACAGUUCCUGACGCUGAGGCGCGAAGGCCAGGGGAGCAAACGGG
rnacentral:rRNA from 1 species